rnacentral:rRNA from 1 species
GAUGAACGCUGGCGGCGUGCCUAAUACAUGCAAGUCGAACGCAUCCUUCGGGAUGAGUGGCGCACGGGUGAGUAACACGUGGGAACGUACCUUGGAGUACGGAAUAAUCCUUGGAAACGAGGACUAAUACCGUAUACGCCCUUCGGGGGAAAGAAUUUCGCUCCAAGAUCGGCCCGCGUCCGAUUAGCUAGUUGGCGGGGUAAUGGCCCACCAAGGCGACGAUCGGUAGCUGGUCUGAGAGGAUGAUCAGCCACACUGGACUGAGACACGGCCCUGACUCCUACGGGAGGCAGCAGUGGAGAAUAUUGCGCAAUGGGGGAAACCUUGACGCAGCCAUGCCGCGUGAGUGAAGAAGGCCUUCGGGUUGUAAAGCUCUUUCGGGUGUGAAGAUGAUGACGGUAACACCAGAAGAAGCCCCGGCUAACUUCGUGCCAGCCGCCGCCGUAAUAC